CAUUAAAAGCGACAGGGCGAGGGCGGGCGGGUGGGAAAGGGAGCCCUGGAUCCAGAUUGGUUGCUACGGAGUGGCCACCGUGCCCGAGUCUCCACGGGAUGAUAGGGAGGAAAGGCUCGUCUUCCUAGAUGCCUGGCUGGCGGCUUCCCCGAGAAGGCGUGCAACAAAUGGCAGCCAGGUCUGUGAUCCGGGCUGCAGCCGCCGCAGAAGCAGCAGCAGCCGCAGCAGCGACUCCCAGGUGAGGCGCAAAGGCUCCGGUCUGCAAAUCCGCAGCUCUCUAUGCCUGCCUGCGCCUUGCCUCCCUCUCUUCCUGAGUCACUCCGCCGCCGCCGCACCUGACUUCUCAUCCAUAAGAUAUGAGAUGGCACCAUGUGAUUCAUUCAGCAAGAUCUCUUUCUACCUCUUUGACAGAAAAAAGGAAUUUCCUCUGAGAACAUCAUCAGAUAGGAGGCUACCUGACAACUUCCAAGGCUCCUCACCAAAACAUCAAGGCUCCAAUAAGAUUAUUCUUUUAAAAAGAAAAACAACCAUGAGGAAGUCUGCGCACUGACACCAUCUUGAAUGACAUCACGGAAGAGAUGAGUUUGCAGUUUUGUGCCUGAGACCUUUUGCCGUCAUCGCUGGGUAAAUGACAAGUGGUUGUGU
rnacentral:lncRNA from 1 species